rnacentral:rRNA from 1 species
UACGUAGGUGGCGAAUGUUACUCGGAAUUACUGGGCGUAAAGGGCCUGUAGGCGGUCAUACAAGUUAGCUGUUAAAGACCUAUGCUAACGUAGGGAGAGCAGCUAAUACUGUAUAGCUAGAGUACAGCAAGGGAUGGUGGAAUUCCCGGUGUAGGGGUGAAAUCUGUAGAGAUCGGGAGGAAUACAGAUGGCGAAGGCGACCAUCUAGGCUGAUACUGACGCUGAGGGGCGAAAGCCAGGGGAGCAAACGGG